rnacentral:lncRNA from 1 species
GCCGUUAUUCUCGUGGUCUGGGUAAAGUGGGUCCGAGGUAGCUGACACACUGACAAGACAAGUACUUCCCUGACAUCAUGGAAUCCGGCAGAUCAAAACUAAGAUGCCAAUCGCCUGUGACUUCUUGAACCGGCUAGAGCUCAGAACAAGAAGGUGACCGAGGAGACUGGGCACUGGGGAGGCUUCUCGGGGCUUGUUUAGAGUUCUGUGAGGAUCUGCCAAGAUGAUGCGAACCCAGAAUACUCUGGGAAAGAAGGAAGCCAGAGAGAUACAGGGAGACAGAGCCAUGCAGCAAGGCCAACGAGGAGAUUCGCUACUGUCAGCGGCUGAGCUGUGGCGCGGGCCUUGCCGACUCGGUAACUAAAGCCAACCUCACCACUUGAGAGCUACUACAUUACCUUCACAUUCUUCAUCACUGUCAGUAUCACAGUUACCAGCAUCACCAUCGCCACUAACAUCACAGUGGCUCAUCCUCACUUAUCCCGGACAUGGAAUGGAAUGAUGCAGGUAGACCAGAUGGCUGGGACGAUGGGAUGAAUCCUGAAGGCUUCCUGGAGGUGGUGGGAAUUAUAUGCAGCACAAUUCUCUUGCAGUGUCUAUAUUACAGACAGUCAACAGUCCACCUGGCUUUUGGAUCAUUUUCAGGCCUUCAGCUAGAAGAACAAGAUGUCCAGGUCUCCGAGCUCUGCCUUAUGACAUUGCCCCUAGACCCUAGGGGAGUUGCACUGCUCUGUGGUUUGCUCAUAUUUUAUUUUUAACACCAAGCAAGCAAGAACCUUGCUGGGCUUUGUCAUGGGCUGCUGAGACACAGCACAGGGCCUGGUACUAUGAUGAGUAAUGAUGACUACGUAAAUCCAUGAAUGAGCCUGCGAAAACAUGAAUCAAUCAGGGCGUCAGGACCUGGGAAGAGCCUCACUGACCACCAGAGAGCCGGAAAACAGCAGUGGCCGCCAUUUUCCCUGCGUCGUCUUCUCCCCCACUUUUUUUUUUUUUCCUUCUCCUUUCUGAUUUUAUAGAAAUGGUUCUCCUCAGAUUGCAGAGCACAAACUGACUGAUUGAUGCCCCAGAACUAAUACCCUCAGACAGACCCGAGGCGAGAGGAUGAUUAUUUAACACAGCACCCAGGGGCAUGGGGUAUGGGAACAUCAUUCUUGCGCGGUAUAAAACAAAUGAAAUAAAAAGUUUAUGCCAAAACCA